rnacentral:tRNA from 1 species
GCGGGUAUGAUGUAACUGUAUAGCAUGACUCCCUACGAAGGAGUUCGUCUAGGUUAGAAUCCUAGUAGCCGCG